rnacentral:rRNA from 1 species
AGUGAACGCUGGCGGUAGGCCUAACACAUGCAAGUCGAACGGCAGCACAGUAAGAGCUUGCUCUUACGGGUGGCGAGUGGCGGACGGGUGAGGAAUACAUCGGAAUCUACUUUUUCGUGGGGGAUAACGUAGGGAAACUUACGCUAAUACCGCAUACGACCUACGGGUGAAAGCAGGGGAUCUUCGGACCUUGCGCGAUUGAAUGAGCCGAUGUCGGAUUAGCUAGUUGGCGGGGUAAAGGCCCACCAAGGCGACGAUCCGUAGCUGGUCUGAGAGGAUGAUCAGCCACACUGGAACUGAGACACGGUCCAGACUCCUACGGGAGGCGGCAGUGGGGAAUAUUGGACAAUGGGCGCAAGCCUGAUCCAGCCAUACCGCGUGGGUGAAGAAGGCCUUCGGGUUGUAAAGCCCUUUUGUUGGGAAAGAAAGGCAGCAGGUUAAUACCCCGCUGUUCUGACGGUACCCAAAGAAUAAGCACCGGCUAACUUCGUG